ensembl:lncRNA
AAGCCAAUGGCUGUCCAGGUGGCUAUUCAAGACAUCUAUUCUCAGCCUUCCAAGAUGCUUCCUCCAUAUCCGCACAUGCUUGCAUCAGAGAUGAGUUAGCUAGAGAAUCAAACAGCAGCGGUUAAAAGCUUUUAUGAGUGUACUCCUGCUUCAGAUUUUAUUGGCCAUAGCAAGUCACAUGGCCAUGCCUAUUUUCAAUGAAAUGGAGAAGUUGUAAGUCUUGGUAAUUCUACUGUUAAAUGAGAACCAGAUGUGCCUAUCACAGUAUCGAGUGCUACAAAAUAAAUGUGUGUAGAGAGUUGGGGGAUAGGGUGUAUUUUUAAAAACGAUAAUAGAAGCAAAAUAAUCAUGAGCUUUAUGUAUAUCAUUGCUGAGAAUGCUAAUAGAGCACAUAUGUAUUUCACAAGAAAACUAAGUCAGCAUAAAGAAAAUUACUUGAUUAUUAUUGCAAAUUGACACUCAGAUGUCAGAAAAAAAACUUAAAGUCAUUUGUGAAUGGCUGAUUUUGAUAGAUAUUGAUUUGCUAAAUCUACCUGAGGACAAGGGUGAUGAUAUUGUAUUUACAUUGAUAUCUUUGAUUUUUUUUUAGGUAGAGAAUAAAGUCUCAAUAAACUUUUGUUGAAUUUAAUAAUGUCCAUUGUUUUAAAUUGGUCUUGCUUUUCUAUGUGAUUAGCUGUCUUGAACUAUAGUCCAUUACAGUUUUGUUGUGAGACUUGAAAUUUUCUUCCAAGGACAAAUUUUAUUUUUGUCUACAUUAAUAAUUUUACAUUCAAUUUUAGUUUAAAUUUGAAUCAUUCACACUUGAAUCACUAGUAGUCUCUUUUCAUUUGUCUCAGAUUUUUUUAAUUUAUUGAAAUAUAGUUGACUUACAAUUUUGUGUUAUGUCAGGUAUGCAGCAAAGUGAAUCAAUUAUACAUAUACAUAUUUCCAUUCUUUCUCAGAUUAUUUUCCCCACAUAGGUUAUUAUAAGAUAUUGAGUAAAUUUUCCUGCGCUAUAUAGGAGGUCCUUGUUAGUUAUCUAUUUUAUACAUAGUAGUAUAUAUAUAUUAAUCCCAAGCUCCCAAUUUAUUCCUGUCUUCCACAUUUUCCCUUUAGUAACCAUAAGUUUGGUUUUGAAAUCUGUGGGUCUGUUUCUGUUUUAUAAAUAAGGUCUUUUGCAUCAUUUUAUUAGAUCCCACUGUAAGUGAUAUCAUAUGAUAUUUGCCUUCUCUUUCUUAAUAUGAAAAUCUCCAGGUCCAUUCAUGUUGCUUCAAAUGGCAUUAUUUUGUUCUUUUUUAUUGCUGAGUAGUAUUCCAUUAUAUACAUGUACCACGUCUUCUUUAUUCAUUCAUCUCUUGUUGGACAUUUGAGUUGUUCCCCUGUCUCGGCUAUUGUAAAUAGUGUUGCAAUGAACAUAGGGGUGCAUGUAUCUUUGCAAAAUCAGUUUUCUCCAGAUAGAUGCCCAGGAGUGGGAUUGCUAAAUCAUGUGGUAGUUCUAUAUUUAGUUUUUUGAGGAACCUCCAUACUGUUCUCCAUAGUGGUUGUGCCAAUUUACAUUCCACACCCUCUCCAGCAAUUUAUUAUUUGGAGACUUUAUUUAUUUAUUUGCCUUUUCUAGGGCCACUCCUGUGGCAUAUUGAGGCCCUCAGGCUAAGGGUCUAAUCGGAGGUGUAGCCACCAGCCUAUGCCAGAGUCACAGCAACAUGGGAUCUGAGCUGCAUCUGCAACCUACACCACAGCUCACAGCAAUGCCAGAUCCUUAACCCGCUGAGCAUGGCCAGGGAUCAAACCCACAACCUCAUGGUUCCUAGUCAGAUUCUUUAACCACUGAGUCACGACAGGAACUCCAUAUUUGGAGACUUACUAAUGAUGGGUAUUCUGACUGGUGGUGAUACCUUAUUGUAGUUCUGAUUUGCAUUUCUGUAAUAAUUAGUGUUGUUGAGCAUCUUUUCAUGUGCUUUUUUGCCAUCUCUGAUAUGCUCUGAAACCAUCAGUUAAGUAUUCCUUAGGAGAAAGGAAAUUUGUAACAUUAAAGUCAGAAUUGCAAUCUACCAACUUGUAUUAAAAAAUAAAGACAACUUUUAUGUUUAAUACUCAUUUGGCAGUUACUGUGUUGGAAAGGGAUUUUACACAUUGGAAUAAAGAGGGCAAGACAAGUCACAAUUUUUUUUUUUUUUUUUUUUGUCUGUUAAGGGGCGCACCCAUGGCAUAUGGAAGUUCCCAGGCUAGGGGUGGAAUCAGAGCUGCAGCCGCCAGCCUACACCACAGUUGCAGCCACACUGCGUUCUUAACCCACUGAGCAAUGCCAAGGAUGGAACCCACGUCCUCAUUCAUACUAGUUG